AUUGAACGCUGGCGGCAUGCUUUACACAUGCAAGUCGAACGGUAACAGGCCGCAAGGUGCUGACGAGUGGCGAACGGGUGAGUAAUGCAUCGGAACGUGCCCAGUCGUGGGGGACAACGCAGCGAAAGCUGCGCUGAUCCCGCAUACGAUCUCUGGAUGAAAGCGGGGGACCGACAGGCCUCGCGCGAUUGGAGCGGCUGAUAUCGGAUUAGGUAGUUGGUGGGGGAAAGGCCCACAAAGCCAACGAGCUGUAGCUGGUCUGAGAGGGGGACCAGCCACACUGGGACUGAGACACGGCCCAGACUCCUACGGGAGGCAGCAGGGGGGAAUUUUGGACAAGGGGCGUAAGCCUGAUCCAGCAAUGCUGCGUGCAGGAAGAAGGCCUUCGGGUUGUAAACUGCUUUUGUACGGAACGAAACGGUCCGGGUUAAUACCCUGGGCUAAUGACGGCACUGUAAGAAUAAGCACCGGCUAACUACGUGCCAGCCGCCGCCGUAA
rnacentral:rRNA from 1 species